CCUACGGGAGGCAGCAGUGGGGAAUAUUGGACAGUGGGGGGAACCCUGAUCCAGCCAUGCCGCGUGUGUGAAGAAGGCCCUCGGGUUGUAAAGCACUUUCAGUGAGGAAGAACGCCUGGUGGUUAAUACCCAUCAGGAAAGACAUCACUCACAGAAGAAGCACCGGCUAACUCCGUGCCAGCAGCCGCGGUAAUACGGAGGGUGCGAGCGUUAAUCGGAAUUACUGGGCGUAAAGCGCGCGUAGGUGGCUUGAUAAGCCGGUUGUGAAAGCCCCGGGCUCAACCUGGGAACGGCAUCCGGAACUGUCAAGCUAGAGUGCAGGAGAGGAAGGUAGAAUUCCCGGUGUAGCGGUGAAAUGCGUAGAGAUCGGGAGGAAUACCAGUGGCGAAGGCGGCCUUCUGGACUGACACUGACACUGAGGUGCGAAAGCGUGGGUAGCAAACAGGAUUAGAUACCCUAGUAGUC
rnacentral:rRNA from 1 species